rnacentral:tRNA from 1 species
GGGUGGGUGGCUCAGUGGUUAAAGCCUAGGGCUUGGAAGCGAAAGGUCCUGAGUUCGAAUCUCGCGACAGGUAG